rnacentral:tRNA from 1 species
GGAGACGUGGCCGAGAGGCUGAAGGCACUUCCCUGCUAAGGAAGCAUGUGGGCUUAAACCUGCAUCGAGGGUUCGAAUCCCUCCGUCUCCGCCA